GGCGCUUUGGCGGAGUGGUUAACGCGAUGCCCUGCUAUCUCUCUUGUGAGGAUACCGAGAGGCAUUUCCUUCGGGAGCGUGUGUUCGAAUCACACAGGCGUCG
rnacentral:tRNA from 1 species